UAGGCGGACAGCAAACUGAUCGACGCCCAAAUCGGUCACGAAAAGACGCUGACCAGUGUGCUGCCGCAUCUCGCCGGCUGCAACAUCCUUUACGGCA
rnacentral:ncRNA from 1 species